GCUAAGCUGCACCACAGCCACAAAAAAAAAUAGCAUAAACAAAUUCUAAUCCAAUUAGAUUCCUACUCUAAUUAAUAUUUAAAUCUUAAAUAAUUUAUCUCCAACAUAUUUAAAUAUUUAUCAUAAUCUAACAUUCAACUACAAAUAUAACCAAAAUCCUAAUAAUCUCCUCCUUGAUUUGAUUUGUAGUCUUUAGCUGUUGCGUCGAGCUCAUAAUUCAACUCUACCUUGAGCUUAUCUACUCCACUCGAUAUCGCCACAUUC
rnacentral:lncRNA from 1 species